GGGGAUUUGGCUCAAUGGUAGAGCACUUGCCUAGCAAGUGCAAGGCCCUGGGUUCGGUCCCCAGCUCCG
rnacentral:tRNA from 1 species